rnacentral:lncRNA from 1 species
CAGUGGCUGGAGCAAGAGGAUUUCCACGAAAUUCAUGGACCUCCAAGGCCACUAAUAAUCAAAAGGAGGAACCUUUGGGGUUUGUUUGCUUGGUGGAUAUCAUUCAGAACCAAGUUGAAGACAAUGGCUUGUCAAGCCAACCUGCUCUCCAUGCAUCUUGGAAGACCCCAUUCAGGAGAAUUAAGCGUUGUUUCACACAAUGCUUUAGGAGAAAUUCCAUGGCCUAAGAUCGUGCAUGCUGCAAACACCAACCGAUGAAUGGAUAUAAAGACACCUGCACAGUCAUAUUUUCCUCCUUUUUUCUGUUCUUUUGUUGUGUUUCCAUAAAUGCUUGCAUG